rnacentral:rRNA from 1 species
ACUCCUGCGGGAGGCAGCAGUGGGGAAUAUUGCACAAUGGGCGCAAGCCUGAUGCAGCCAUGCCGCGUGUAUGAAGAAGGCCUUCGGGUUGUAAAGUACUUUCAGCGGGGAGGAAGGCGAUAAGGUUAAUAACCUUGUCGAUUGACGUUACCCGCAGAAGAAGCACCGGCUAACUCCGUGCCAGCAGCCGCGGUAAUACGGAGGGUGCAAGCGUUAAUCGGAAUUACUGGGCGUAAAGCGCACGCAGGCGGUCUGUCAAGUCGGAUGUGAAAUCCCCGGGCUCAACCUGGGAACUGCAUUCGAAACUGGCAGGCUAGAGUCUUGUAGAGGGGGGUAGAAUUCCAGGUGUAGCGGUGAAAUGCGUAGAGAUCUGGAGGAAUACCGGUGGCGAAGGCGGCCCCCUGGACAAAGACUGACGCUCAGGUGCGAAAGCGUGGGGAGCAAACAGGAUUAGAUACCCUAGUAGUCCC